rnacentral:rRNA from 1 species
GAUCUGGAUACUGUCUCGACCAUAGACUCGGUGAAAUCUUAAUACCUGUGAAAAUGCAGGUUACCCGCGACAGGACGGAAAGACCCCGUGGAGCUUUACUGUAGCUUGAUAUUGGGAUUCGAUGUAUUAUGUAGAGGAUAGGUGGGAGACUUUGAAAUUAGAACGCCAGUUUUAAUGGAGUCAACCUUGGAAUACCACCCUUAAUAUAUUGGAUUUCUAACCUGAAACCGUAAUCCGGUUUAGGGACAGUGUCUGGUGGGCAGUUUGACUGGGGCGGUCGCCUCCUAAACAGUAACGGAGGCGCCCAAAGGUUCCCUCAAAAUGGUUGGAAAUCAUUUGUAGAGUGUAAAGGCAUAAGGGAGCUUGACUGUAAGACCUACAAGUCGAGCAGAGAAGAAAUUCGGGCUUAGUGAUCUGGCGAUUCAGAAUGGAAUGGUCGUCGCUUAACGGAUAAAAGUUACCCCGGGGAUAACAGGCUGAUAGCGCCCAAUAGUUCAUAUAGACGGCGCUGUUUGGCACCUCGAUGUCGGCUCGUCACAUCCUGGAGGUGAAGUCGCUUCCAAGGGUUGGGCUGUUCGCCCAUUAAAGUGGCACGCGAGCUGGGUUCAGAACGUCGUGAGACAGUUCGGUCCCUAUCCGUCGUGGGCGUAGGAAAAUUGAGUAGAGCUAUCCUUAGUACGAGAGGACCAGGAUGGACCUACCUCUGGUGUAUCUGUUGUCACGCCAGUGGCAGUGCAGAGUAGCUAUGUAGGGAAUGGAUAACCGCUGAAAGCAUCUAAGCGGGAAGCCAACUUCAAGAUGAGUUUUCCCAUUUUUUAUAAAGUAAGAUCCCAGGAAGACUACCUGGUUGAUAGGCUGGAGAUGGAAGCAUAGUGAUAUGUUGAGUUGACCAGUACUAAUAGAUCGAGGAUUUAAUCCUAUUU